rnacentral:rRNA from 1 species
UUCCGGUUGAUCCCGCCGGACCCGACUGCUAUCAGAAUAGGACUAAGCCAUGCGAGUCAACGUAGUAAUACGUGGCAUACGGCUCAGUAACACGUAGUCAACAUGCCCAGAGGACGUGGAUAACCUCGGGAAACUGAGGAUAAACCGCGAUAGGUCAUAAUAUCUGGAAUGAUUUAUGGUUUAAAUCUAUAUGGCCUCUGGAUUGGACUGCGGCCGAUCAGGCUGUUGGUGAGGUAAUGGCCCACCAAACCUGAAACCGGUACGGGCUCUGAGAGGAGAAGCCCGGAGAUGGGCACUGAGACAAGGGCCCAGGCCCUAUGGGGCGCAGCAGGCGCGAAAACUCUGCAAUAAGCGAAAGCUUGACAGGGUUAUUCUGAGUGAUUUCCGCUAAGGAAAUCUUUUGGCACCUCUAAAAAUGGUGCAGAAUAAGGGGUGGGCAAGCCUGGUGUCAGCCGCCGCGGUAAUACCAGCACCCCGAGUGGUCGGGACGAUUAUUGGGCCUAAAGCAUCCGUAGCCGGUUCUACAAGUCUUCCGUUAAAUCCACCUGCUUAACAGAUGGGCUGCGGAGGAUACUAUAGAGCUAGGAGGCGGGAGAGGCAAGCGGUACUUAGUGGGUAGGGGUAAAAUCCGUUGAUCCAUUGAAGACCACCAGUGGCGAAGGCGGCUUGCCAGAACGCACUCGACGGUGAGGGAUGAAAGCUGGGGGAGCAAACCGGAUUAGAUACCCGGGUAGUCCCAGCUGUAAACGAUGCAGACUCGGUGAUGAAUAGGCUUCGUGCCUAUUCAGUGCCGCAGGGAAGCCGUUAAGUCUGCCGCCUGGGGAGUACGGUCGCAAGACUGAAACUUAAAGGAAUUGGCGGGGGAGCACCACAAGGGGUGAAGCCUGCGGUUCAAUUGGAGUCAACGCCGGG